CCUACGGGAGGCAGCAGUGAGGAAUAUUGGUCAAUGGGCGCGAGCCUGAACCAGCCAAGUAGCGUGAAGGAUGACUGCCCUACGGGUUGUAAACUUCUUUUAUAAAGGAAUAAAGUGAGGCCCGUGUGCCUUUUUGUAUGUACUUUAUGAAUAAGGAUCGGCUAACUCAGUGCCAGCAGCCGCGGUAAAACGGAGGAUCCGAGCGUUGUCCGGAUUUAUUGGGUUUAAAGGGAGCGUAGAUGGGUUGUUAAGUCAGUUGUGAACGUUUGCGGCUCAACCGUAAAAUUGCAAUUGAUACUGGCAGUCUUGAGUACAUUUGAGGUAGGCGGAAUUCGUGGUGUAGCGGUGAAAUGCUUAGAUAUCACGAAGAACUCCGAUUGCGAAGGCAGCUUACUAAACUGCCACUGACAUUGAUGCUCGAAAGUGUGGGUAUCAAACAGGAUUAGAUACCCCUGUAGUC
rnacentral:rRNA from 1 species